GGGACAGCCUGAGAGACACUGCACAAGCCGGCUAUUCUGGCCAUGUGAUCACAAGGAUCCCGCAAUCACAUGGCCCUGGGGGGACAAAUCAGCCGCAGGGGGACUACCUGGGAUGCCAGGCAAGUCCCCGCAUCGUGAUCGUCGGCGGGGGAUCACCAGCGAUCAGGUAAGUCCAGGUACGUCCGUGGUCGUUAACAGUUUUUUGGUCGGGCGUACCUGGUACGUCAGAGGUCGGAAGGGG